AUCAACUUUCGAUGGUAGGAUAGAGGUCUACCAUGGUGGUAACGGGUAACGGGGAAUUAGGGUUCGAUUCCGGAGAGGGAGCCUGAGAAACGGCUACCACAUCCAAGGAAGGCAGCAGGCGCGCAAAUUACCCAAUCCCGACACGGGGAGGUAGUGACAAUAAAUAACAAUACGGGGCUCUUUCGGGUCUCGUAAUUGGAAUGAGUACAAUUUAAAUCCCUUAACGAGGAACAAUUGGAGGGCAAGUCUGGUGCCAGCAGCCGCGGUAAUUCCAGCUCCAAUAGCGUAUAUUAAAGUUGUUGCAGUUAAAAAGCUCGUAGUUGAAUUUCGGGAUUGACACAUCGGUCGUGCCUUAAGGGGUAUGAACUGGUGUAGUCAAUUUCUCACCUUCUGGAGAACCGCGAUGCCCUUAAUUGGGUGUCACGGGGAACCAGGACCUUUACUUUGAAAAAAUUAAAGUGUUUAAAGCAGGCAUUUUGCUUGAAUACAUUAGCAUGGAAUAAUAAAAUAGGACGGCAUGAUUCUAUUUUGUUGGUUUCUAGGAUCACCGUAAUGAUUAAUAGGGAUAGUUGGGGGCAUUAGUAUUCAAUUGUCAGAGGUGAAAUUCUUGGAUUUAUUGAAGACUAACUACUGCGAAAGCAUUUGCCCAAGGAUGUUUUCCUUAAUCAAGAACGAAAGUUAGGGGAUCGAAAGACGAUCAGAUACCGUCGUAGUCUUAACCAUAAACUAUGCCGACUAGGGAAUCAGACGAUGUUAAUUUUUUAAUUGACUCGUUUGGGCCCCUUACCGGAAAACCAAAGUGUUUUGGGUU
rnacentral:rRNA from 1 species